rnacentral:rRNA from 1 species
CCUACGGGCGGCUGCAGUGGGGGAUAUUGGACAAUGGGGGGAACCCUGAUCCAGCGACGCCGCGUGAGUGAAGAAGUAUUUCGGUAUGUAAAGCUCUGUCAGCAGGGAAGAAAGCAAUGACGGUACCUGACCAAGAAGCCCCGGCUAACUACGUGCCAGCAGCCGCGGUAAUACGUAGGGGGCAAGCGUUAUCCGGAAUUACUGGGUGUAAAGGGAGCGUAGACGGCAGCGCAAGUCUGGAGUGAAAUGCCGGGGCCCAACCCCGGAACUGCUCUGGAAACUGUGAAGCUGGAGUGCAGGAGAGGUAAGCGGAAUUCCUGGUGUAGCGGUGAAAUGCGUAGAUAUCAGGAGGAACACCGGCGGCGAAGGCGGCUUACUGGACUGUAACUGACGUUGAGGCUCGAAGGCGUGGGGAGCAAACAGGAUUAGAUACCCUUGUAGUC